rnacentral:snoRNA from 1 species
UCAAAUGAUGAUUACCUUAAUUUCCUUUUGCGGUUUCCACCAGAAAGUUUCGGCUUAAUGAUGGUCAAAGGUGUCUGAUU